UACGGGGGGGGCAAGCGUUGUUCGGAAUUACUGGGCGUAAAGGGCUCGUAGGCGGCCAACUAAGUCCGACGUGAAAUCCCAAGGCUUAACCUUGGAACUGCGUCGGAUACUGGAUGGCUUGAAUUCGGGAGAGGGAUGCAGAAUUCCAGGUGUAGCGGUGAAAUGCGUAGAUAUCUGGAGGAAUACCGGUGGCGAAGGCGGCAUCCUGGACCGACAUUGACGCUGAGGAGCGAAGGCUAGGGGAGCAAACGGG
rnacentral:rRNA from 1 species